UACGUAGGGUGCGAGCGUUAAUCGGAAUUACUGGGCGUAAAGCGUGCGCAGGCGGUUAUAUAAGACAGUUGUGAAAUCCCCGGGCUUAACCUGGGAAUUGCAUCUGUGACUGUAUAGCUAGAGUACGGGAGAGGGAGAUGGAAUUUCGCGUGUAGCAGUGAAAUGCGUAGAUAUGCGGAGGAACACCGAUGGCGAAGGCAAUCCCCUGGACCUGUACUGACGCUCAUGCACGAAAGCGUGGGGAGCAAACAGG
rnacentral:rRNA from 1 species